GCAGGAGUGGUGGAAUGGCAGACGCGCUGGCUUCAGGUGCCAGUGGUAGCAAUACCGUGUGGGUUCAAGUCCCAUCUCCUGCA
rnacentral:tRNA from 1 species